AAUGAACGCUGGCGGCGUGCCUAAUACAUGCAAGUCGAGCGAACGGACGAGAAGCUUGCUUCUCUGAUGUUAGCGGCGGACGGGUGAGUAACACGUGGAUAACCGACCUAUAAGACUGGGAUAACUUCGGGAAACCGGAGCUAAUACCGGAUAAUAGUUUGAACCGCAUGGUUCAAAAGUGAAAGACGGUCUUGCUGUCACUUAUAGAUGGAUCCGCGCUGCAUUAGCUAGUUGGUAAGGUAACGGCUUACCAAGGCAACGAUGCAUAGCCGACCUGAGAGGGUGAUCGGCCACACUGGAACUGAGACACGGUCCAGACUCCUACGGGAGGCAGCAGUAGGGAAUCUUCCGCAAUGGGCGAAAGCCUGACGGAGCAACGCCGCGUGAGUGAUGAAGGUCUUCGGAUCGUAAAACUCUGUUAUUAGGGAAGAACAUAUGUGUAAGUAACUGUGCACAUCUUGACGGUACCUAAUCAGAAAGCCACGGCUAACUACGUG
rnacentral:rRNA from 1 species